rnacentral:rRNA from 1 species
AGUGAACGCUGGCGGUAGGCCUAACACAUGCAAGCCGAACGGCAGCACAGGAGAGCUUGCUCUCUAGGUGGCGAGUGGCGGACGGGUGAGGAAUACAUCGGAAUCUGCCCAGUCGUGGGGGAUAACGUAGGGAAACUUACGCUAAUACCGCAUACGACCUUCGGGUGAAAGAGGGGGAUCGCAAGACCUCUCGCGAUUGGAUGAGCCGAUGUCGGAUUAGCUAGUUAGCGGGGUAAUGGCCCACCAAGGCGACGAUCCGUAGCUGGUCUGAGAGGAUGAUCAGCCACACUGGAACUGAGACACGGUCCAGACUCCUACGGGAGGCAGCAGUGGGGAAUAUUGGACAAAGGGCGCAAGCCUGAUCCAGCCAUACCGCGUGGGUGAAGAAGGCCUUCGGGUUGUAAAGCCCUUUUGUUGGGAAAGAAAUCUUUCAGGCUAAUACCCUGGGAGGAUGACGGUACCCAAAGAAUAAGCACCGGCUAACUUCGUG